AACGAACGCUGGCGGCAUGCCUAACACAUGCGAGUCGAACGAGACCUUCGGGUCUAGUGGCGCACGGGUGCGUAACGCGUGGGAACCUGCCCUUAGGUUCGGAAUAACUCCCCGAAAGGGGUGCUAAUACCGGAUAAUGUCUUCGGACCAAAGAUUUAUCGCCUUUGGAUGGGCCCGCGUUGGAUUAGCUAGUUGGUAGGGUAAAAGCCUACCAAGGCGACGAUCCAUAGCUGGUCUGAGAGGAUGAUCAGCCACACUGGGACUGAGACACGGCCCAGACUCCUACGGGAGGCAGCAGUGGGGAAUAUUGGACAAUGGGCGAAAGCCUGAUCCAGCAAUGCCGCGUGAGUGAUGAAGGCCUUAGGGUUGUAAAGCUCUUUUACCCGGGAUGAUAAUGACAGUACCGGGAGAAUAAGCUCCGGCUAACUCCGUGC
rnacentral:rRNA from 1 species